rnacentral:lncRNA from 1 species
GGUUAAAGUCCGAUAAAUUCAUGGUCAAGGACAGUCUUUACUCUCUGGCAUAUCUUCGGUCCUAUAGUUUCAAUAAAAAUAAAAUGUAAAAUCUUUGUCUGUUAAUAAUAUUCGCAAGCACGUGUGUGAAUAAUGAAAACUUGAUGCGCUAGCUGUUUUAAAUUACAAGCUAACGAAAAUAAUAACAUUUCUUUUUACAAGUUCCCACAAGAUGAAACUCUCCGAAAGGUAUGGUGUAAUACAAAUUUUUCAUCUGCUAAAAUAUUAUUCCCCUAUAGUCAACAUUUUUCGAAGUGAUGGUUUUUCUAUCCUUGUGAUGGCACAAAUCGGCAAAAACAAAUAGAAAGGAUCGCUUCCAAUAAAAUAUCGAUUUGCUAAAAGAGGAUAAACAAAAAAUACAGCAUGAAGGUGUUCAGUGCAGAAACACAAUAGGAAUAACUGACGGACAAUAUCAGUGAGAUAAUUCCACGAUGUAUAUAAUGGAAAUUUUUGAGACAAUUGAAGAGACUAUAUCUACUAAUUCAGUACGUCAUUAUGUAGAAUUAAUGUUCUACACGCCAAUCAAUGCAACAGUUAACGUACAGUUUGGUCCUUCGAUAUUGCUUAUUGCCUAGGAUGUACAGUUAAAUGUUACCAACAAUCAGCAUAAUGCGAAUAAAUUUUCAAGUCGCAUUUGUAAUUUGAAGCAACGCAUUGAUGCAUUUAAAAGUAGAAAUAUUUUUCUUAAAUUAUUUUAUUCUAGUGAGACACUUUCGCGAAAAAAAUUACGAACCCUCGUUCGGUUAGCGAUUGCGAUACUCAAGAUUUAAAUUCACCAGGGAUAAUAAUUAGAAAGUGUUAUCUAGCAUUGAAUUCUAGUACACUAAAAGACAAAAGAUAAAGGCAUAAAAAGACCUCAAAAGUUUGGUUUCCAAAUUGUAGAAUAACAAAUUUAAUAUCAAAUUAAUCUUAUCAGUAAGCCUAUCGUUUCUUAUCUGAGCUGUGUUUAUAAACAUUACGUGAAUUACGUGAGUUUCAUUGUAUCUCUGGUCAAUCCCAUGGGUUUGACAAUAAUUCGAAAAUACCCGAAUUAAUUCGUAAACGGAA